rnacentral:rRNA from 1 species
UAAGGAAUAUUGGUCAAUGGACGCAAGUCUGAACCAGCCAUGCCGCGUGAAGGAUGAAGGCCCUCUGGGUUGUAAACUUCUUUUACAGGGGAAGAAAUCUCUUUUUUUCAAGAGAGUUGACGGUACCCUGGGAAUAAGCACCGGCUAACUCCGUGCCAGCAGCCGCGGUAAUACGGAGGGUGCAAGCGUUAUCCGGAUUCACUGGGUUUAAAGGGUGCGUAGGAGGGCAGGUAAGUCAGUGGUGAAAUCUCCGAGCUUAACUCGGAAACUGCCGUUGAUACUAUCUGUCUUGAAUACCGUGGAGGUGAGCGGAAUAUGUCAUGUAGCGGUGAAAUGCUUAGAUAUGACAUAGAACACCAAUUGCGAAGGCAGCUCACUACACGAGCAUUGACUCUGAGGCACGAAAGCGUGGGGAUCAAACA